rnacentral:misc_RNA from 1 species
GAUGAAGAACGCAGCGAAAUGCGAUAAGUAAUGUGAAUUGCAGAAUUCAGUGAAUCAUCGAAUCUUUGAACGCACAUUGCGCCCACCAGUAUUCUGGCGGGCAUGCCUGUCUGAGCGUCAUUUCAACCCUCAUGCCCCUAGGGCGUGGUGUUGGGGAUCGGCCAAAGCCCGCGAGGGACGGCCGGCCCCUAAAUCUAGUGGCGGACCCGUCGUGGCCUCCUCUGCGAAGUAGUGAUAUUCCGCAUCGGAGAGCGAUGAGCCCCUGCCGUUAAACCCCCAACUUUCCAAGGUUGACCUCAGAUCAGGUAGGAAUACCCGCUGAACUUAAGCAUAUCAAUAAGCGGAGGA